CACAGUGAGUCCUUAUCUGGGAGCAAGGUGGAUGGAAGUCUUUUCUGUCUGCGUGUACACUCCAGGCAUGGAGAUCCCGGAUCCUAGAGCAGUCUCUGUUCUCAGUCUGCCUGUUCUUGUUUCCCAAGAGCCUCUCCAGGCUGCAUCAGAAGGAGCCCCAACAAACUGUGCUGGCUGAGAAUCUCCCUUGCGGACCCUACCUAUGCCUUCUCUUUUCCUCAUUGGUUAUGACAUAACACCUUUGGUCUCUGCCAACUUUGAUGGCCCACAGCGAGUACUACCAAAGUUAACCGUGCAACUGAAAACAGUAACCACAGAUCUCUAUGAAGGCC
rnacentral:lncRNA from 1 species